rnacentral:rRNA from 1 species
UUGACCCUCAUCCUGUGUAAAGCAGUAAGAAUGACCUCGGAUCAGGUAGGGAUACCCGCUGAACUUAAGCAUAUCAAUAAGCGGAGGAAAAGAAACCAACAGGGAUUGCCUUAGUAACGGCGAGUGAAGCGGCAAAAGCUCAAAUUUGAAAUCUGACAUCUCUGAUGUUCGAGUUGUAAUUUGGAGAGACAUCUUCUGGAGGGACCCAGCCUAUGUGCCUUGGAACAGGACAUCAUAGAGGGUGAGAAUCCCGUUCUUGGCUGGAUGUUCCCUCCUCCAUGUAGUG